GAUGAACGCUGGCGGCGUGCCUAAUACAUGCAAGUCGAGCGAACGGACGAAAAGCUUGCUUCUCUGAUGUUAGCGGCGGACGGGUGAGUAACACGUGGAUAACCUACCUAUAAGACUGGGAUAACUUCGGGAAACCGUAGCUAAUACCGGAUAAUAUUUUGAACCGCAUGGUUCAAAAGUGAAAGACGGUCUUGCUGUCACUUAUAGAUGGAUCCGCGCUGCAUUAGCUAGUUGGUAAGGUAACGGCUUACCAAGGCAACGAUGCAUAGCCGACCUGAGAGGGUGAUCGGCCACACUGGAACUGAGACACGGUCCAGACUCCUACGGGAGGCAGCAGUAGGGAAUCUUCCGCAAUGGGCGAAAGCCUGACGGAGCAACGCCGCGUGAGUGAUGAAGGUCUUCGGAUCGUAAAACUCUGUUAUUAGGGAAGAACAUAUGUGUAAGUAACUGUGCACAUCUUGACGGUACCUAAUCAGAAAGCCACGGCUAACUACGUG
rnacentral:rRNA from 1 species